rnacentral:rRNA from 1 species
UACGUAGGGGGCAAGCGUUGUCCGGAUUUACUGGGUGUAAAGGGAGCGUAGACGGCAGCGCAAGUCUGGAGUGAAAUGCCGGGGCCCAACCCCGGAACCGCUUUGGAAACUGCGAGGCUGGAGUGCUGGAGAGGUAAGCGGAAUUCCUGGUGUAGCGGUGAAAUGCGUAGAUAUCAGGAGGAACACCGGUGGCGAAGGCGGCUUACUGGACAGUGACUGACGUUGAGGCUCGAAAGCGUGGGGAGCGAACAGG